rnacentral:rRNA from 1 species
AUACGUAGGGUGCGAGCGUUGUCCGGAAUUACUGGGCGUAAAGAGCUCGUAGGUGGUUUGUCGCGUCGUCUGUGAAAUUCCGGGGCUUAACUCCGGGCGUGCAGGCGAUACGGGCAUAACUUGAGUACUGUAGGGGAGACUGGAAUUCCUGGAGUAGCGGUGAAAUGCGCAGAUAUCAGGAGGAACACCGGUGGCGAAGGCGGUUCUCUGGGCAGUAACUGACGCUGAGGAGCGAAAGCAUGGGUAGCGAACAGGAUUAGAUACCCUGGUAGUCCAUGCCGUAAACGGUGGGCGCUAGGUGUAGGGGUCUUCCACGACUUCUGUUCCGUAGCUAACGCAUUAAGCGCCCCGCCUGGGGAGUACGGCCGCAAGGCUAAAACUCAAAGGAAUUGACGGGG